GGGACUGUAGCUCAGUAGUUGAGCGCUUGCCUAUCAUGCAUGAGGCAAUGGGUUCGACCCUCAGCAUCA
rnacentral:tRNA from 1 species